AAUUUGUUAAAUUAUAUUGACCUAAAAAUAUGUUUUUAAUUAAAUCUUAACACUUUCAUUAAUUCCUUUAGAGCCAACACUUGCUACUCCCAAAUGGAGCUUAGUCCGGUUGUGUGAAGAACAAUCUGCUACAAAGAGAGUCUGAUUAAAACCAGCCCCUACUGCAAGUUGAUGGUGGGGCUGGUUUUAAUCAGACUGCAAAAAAAGAAAGAUUACACACAAAAAAACAUCAUAAAUAACAUAAAUAUUAUGGAUGUAUUAAAACAUGUGAUUGCAAAAUCAGUUUUUUCUUAAAUUUGAUAACAAAGACAAACUUUUCUUAAAUUUGUUAAAUUAUAUUGAACUAAAAAUAUAUUUUUAUUUACUUCUUAACACUUUCAUUAAUUCCUUUACAUCCAAUACUUGCUACUCCCAAAUGGAGCUUAGUCCAGUUGUGUGAAGAACAAUCUGCUACAAAGAGAGUCUGAUUAAAACCAGCCCCUACUGCAAGUUGAUGGUGGGGCUGGUUUUAAUCAGACUGCAAAAAAGAAAGAUUACACACAAAAAAACAUCAUAAAUAACAUAAAUAUUAUGGAUGUAUUAAAACAUGUGAUUGCAAAAUCAGUUUUUUCUUAAAUUUGAU
rnacentral:lncRNA from 1 species